rnacentral:rRNA from 1 species
AUCACUCCUACGGGGAGGCACAGUGGGGAAUAUUGCACAAUGGGCGCAAGCCUGAUGCAGCCAUGCCGCGUGUAUGAAGAAGGCCUUCGGGUUGUAAAGUACUUUCAGCAGUGAGGAAGGUGGGUAUGUUAAUAGCAUACUCAUUUGACGUUAGCUGCAGAAGAAGCACCGGCUAACUCCGUGCCAGCAGCCGCGGUAAUACGGAGGGUGCGAGCGUUAAUCGGAAUUACUGGGCGUAAAGCGCAUGCAGGUGGUUUGUUAAGUCAGAUGUGAAAGCCCGGGGCUCAACCUCGGAAUUGCAUUUGAAACUGGCAAACUAGAGUACUGUAGAGGGGGGUAGAAUUUCAGGUGUAGCGGUGAAAUGCGUAGAGAUCUGAAGGAAUACCGGUGGCGAAGGCGGCCCCCUGGACAGAUACUGACACUCAGAUGCGAAAGCGUGGGGAGCAAACAGGAUUAGAUACCCUGGUAG